rnacentral:tRNA from 1 species
GGCGAACGACGGGAAUUGAACCCGCGCAUGGUGGAUUCACAAUCCACUGCCUUGAUCCACUUGCCUACAUCCGCCCCUUAUCCAGCUAAAGGAUUUUUUUCUUUUUUUCGGAUCUACGAAAAAAGAGAAAACUCCCAGGUUGCGACAAGUGACGCGCUGCAUGUGCGUCACUUGUCGCGACCUGGGAUGGUGGAGUGUUCUUUGCAAUGA